rfam:Felis catus isolate Cinnamon breed Abyssinian chromosome D4, whole genome shotgun sequence.
GCCUGGGUGGCUCAGUUGGUUAAGCAUCUGACUUCAACUCAGGUCAUGAUCUCACGGUUCAUGGGUUCGAGCCCCACAUGGGCU